AUGGCUGUCGUCAGCUCGUGCCGUGAGGUGUUGGGUUAAGUCCCGCAACGAGCGCAACCCUUAUCACUAGUUGCCAGCACUUAGGGUGGGAACUCUAGUGAGACUGCCUGGGUUAACCAGGAGGAAGGUGAGGAUGACGUCAAGUCAGCAUGGCCCUUAUGUCUGGGGCGACACACGUGCUACAAUGGCCGGUACAGAAGGCAGCAAAACCGCAAGGUGGAGCAAAUCCCAAAAACCGGUCCCAGUUCGGAUUGUAGUCUGCAACUCGACUACAUGAAGUCGGAAUUGCUAGUAAUGGCGCGUCAGCCAUAGCGCCGUGAAUACGUUCCCGGGCCUUGUACACACCGCCCGU
rnacentral:rRNA from 1 species